ensembl:lncRNA
CCCCCCAAAAUCCCAAUUGGCCAAUGGGAACCUGGGAAGGGUGGAGGUUUUGGGGUUUUAUAACCCAAAAUAAGCCCCCCAAAAUCCCCCCCAAAAUCCCCCCCAAAAUCCCAAAAUCGCUACUGACCAAUGGGAACCUGGGAAGGGAGGAAGUUUGGGGUUUAUAACCCAAAAUCCCCCCAAAAUCCCAAAAUCGCUAUUGGCCAAUGGGAACCUGGGAAGGGAUGGGACAGGAGGUGUCACCCCCCAAAAAAACCCAAAAUCCCCCCAAAAUCCCAAAAUCGCUAUUGGCCAAUGGGAACCUGGGAGGGGAUGGGACGGGAGAUGUCACCCCCAAAAAACCCAAAAUUCCCCCCAAAAUCCCAAAAUUGCUAUUGGCCAAUGGGAACCCGGGAGGGGAGGAGGUUUUGGGGUUUUAUAACCCAAAAUCCCCCCAAAACCCCCCAAAAUCCCAAAGUGCCAAUUGGCCAAUGGGAACCUGGGAGGGGAAGAGGUUUUGGGAUUUUAUAACCCAAAAUUCCCCCAAAACCCCCCAAAAUCCCAAAAUUGCUAUUGGCCAAUAGGAACCCAAGAGGGGAGAAAGUUUUGGGGUUUUAUAACCCAAAAUAAGCCCCCAAAAACCCCCAAAUCCCCCCCAAAAUCCCAAAAUCGCUAUUGGCCAAUGGGAACCUGGGAGGGGAUGGGACAGGAGAUGUCACCCCCAAAAAAACCCCAAAUCCCCCCAAAAUCCCAAAAUCCCUACUGACCCAUGGGAACCUGGGAAGGGAGGAAGUUUGGGGUUUAUAACCCAAAAU